GACGAACGCUGGCGGCGUGCCUAAUACAUGCAAGUAGAACGCAGUUGCGAACGGGUGAGUAACGCGUAGGUAACUGCCUCAUAGCGGGGGAUAACUAUUGGAAACGAUAGCUAAUACAGCAUACUGAGAGAUGGAUCGGGGUUGGAUUAGCUAGUUGGUGAGGUAAAGGCUUACCAAGGCGACGAUACAUAGCCGACCUGAGAGGGUGAGCGGGCACACUGGGACUGAGACACGGCCCAGACUCCUACGGGAGGCAGCAGUAGGGAAUCUUCGGCAAUGGACGAAAGUCUGACCGAGCAACGCCGCGUGAGUGAAGAAGGUUUUCGGAUCGUAAAACGCUGUUGUUAGAGACGCGGUAUCUAACCAGAAAGCCACGGCUAACUACGUGCCAGCCGCCGCGGUAAUAC
rnacentral:rRNA from 1 species